UGAACUUCCUGCCGUUGUAGCUCAGUGUUCUUGUGGGAAUAUCUGGCCUUGAUGUCACGCUAGCUGUGACGUACGCGAGCUAACGGCGGCUAACCAGUGCUACAGGUGCAGGUGUUGAGUGCCUGAAAAACCACGGCUGCUCUGCUUCCUGCUGCUCUCCUAACCGUGCACAGGGGGCUCGUGGGUAACCGAGAAGAGGGGGCCGAAGAGGGGGCCCCCGGCAACGUGACGCGAGCUAGCAUGGAGAUGUGCAGCUUAGAUAAGAGAUCAUGUGAAGAGCAGAAAUAACAAUGGAAAAUCUCCAAACUGUCUGACAUUUAGCAGAUGUUUGACUCGAAGCGGUUCACCGCACAACCACGUGGAGGAGGCUGGCCAGGGGCUGUCUCUGUGCUGACAAAAACAAAAACAUGCUACAGUGUCAUCAUUCAAAAACACUGUGACGAGCAUCCAGAGACUGCAAUUCAUCCAGAACAGCGCUGCCAGGAUCCUGAUGAGGGUGCGAAAAUUUGGCUAUAUCACCCCCAUCCUGAAAUCCCUUCACUGGCUCCCUAUCCCACUCAGGAUUGAGUUCAAAGUCUCCCUCCUCACUCACCAGUGCAUCCACAGACACUCCCCCCAGUACCUUAAGGAACUCCUCACUCCCCAGACCCCCUCAAGCACCCUCCGCUCUGCAUCCACUAACACUCUCCAACCCCACAGAAGCAAACUCUGCACUAUGGGUGAUCGGGCCUUUUCUGCUCCAGCUCCGAGGCUUUGGAAUGCUCUCCCCGACCACCUGACAACCCACAAUCUACUUCUGUUUUUAAAUGAAAUCUUAAAACAUAUCUUUUUACUAAAGACUUUUGUUAAUUGUAUUUUAUUUCUGUUUUAUUUUAUUGGUUCUCUGCUGUGCACUGUAAUAGUUUUAGCUUGAUGCACUGUUAUGCUGUUGCACUUUUUAUUCACUGUUUUUACCUGUUUUAUUUUUUUAUUAUUUAUUAAUUUAUUUCGGUCACAGGUAUAUUUUGACAUUAAUUCACAGUCAUAUUUAACAUACACAGAUCGAAAAGGCGGAGGCUGAAGUUUAAGCUUAUUAUGCCUUUACCCUUUAUUCCUUUAUCAGAGCGUCAUCUUGACACCAGUUCAUCUUCAUAAAUACAGCAAGAGGAAACAAACAAACCAGAAA